rnacentral:rRNA from 1 species
AGUAGGGAAUCUUCCGCAAUGGACGAAAGUCUGACGGAGCAACGCCGCGUGAGCGAAGAAGGCCUUCGGGUCGUAAAGCUCUGUUGUUAGGGAAGAACAAGUACCAGAGUAACUGCUGGUACCUUGACGGUACCUAACCAGAAAGCCACGGCUAACUACGUGCCAGCAGCCGCGGUAAUACGUAGGUGGCAAGCGUUGUCCGGAAUUAUUGGGCGUAAAGCGCGCGCAGGCGGUCCUUUAAGUCUGAUGUGAAAGCCCACGGCUCAACCGUGGAGGGUCAUUGGAAACUGGGGGACUUGAGUGCAGAAGAGGAGAGUGGAAUUCCACGUGUAGCGGUGAAAUGCGUAGAGAUGUGGAGGAACACCAGUGGCGAAGGCGACUCUCUGGUCUGUAACUGACGCUGAGGCGCGAAAGCGUGGGGAGCGAA